rnacentral:rRNA from 1 species
UACGUAGGCAGCAAGCGUUGUUCGGAGUUACUGGGCGUAAAGGGUGCGUAGGCGGCUUUUUAAGUUUGGUGUGUAAUCUCCCGGCUCAACUGGGAGGGUGCGCCGAAUACUGAGAGGCUAGAGUGCGGGAGAGGAAAGUGGAAUUCCUGGUGUAGCGGUGAAAUGCGUAGAUAUCAGGAGGAACACCGGUGGUGUAAACGGCUUUCUGGACCGUAACUGACGCUGAGGCACGAAAGCGUGGGUAGCAAACAGG